rnacentral:rRNA from 1 species
CCUACGGGUGGCAGCAGUAGGGAAUAUUGCUCAAUGGGGGAAACCCUGAAGCAGCAACGCCGCGUGGAGGAUGAAGGUUUUAGGAAUGUAAAAUCCUUUUGUUAGAGAAGAUAAUGACGGUAUCUAACGACUAAGUACCGGCUAACUCCGUGCCAGCAGCCGCGGCAAUACGGAGGGUGCAAGCGUUACACGGAAUCACUGGGCGUAAAGAGCGCGUAGGCGGGAUAGCAAGUCAGAUGUGAAACCCUAUGGCUUAACCAUAGAACUGCAGUUGAAACUGUUAUUCUAGAGUAUGGGAGAGGUAGGUGGAAUUCGUGGUGUAGGGGUAAAAUCCGUAGAGAUCAAGAGGAAUACUCAUUGCGAAGGCGACCUGCUAGAACAUAACUGACGCUGAUGCGCGAAAGCGUGGGGAGCAAACAGGAUUAGAUACCCCAGUAGUC